UACGUAGGGUGCGAGCGUUGUCCGGAAUUACUGGGCGUAAAGAGCUCGUAGGUGGUUUGUCGCGUUGUUCGUGAAAAACUCACAGCUCAACUGUGGGCGUGCGGGCGAUACGGGGCAGACUAGAGGUAUGCAGGGGGAGAACGGAAUUCCUGGUGUAGCGGUGAAAAUGCGUAGAUAUCGGGAGGAACACCUGUGGCGAAGGCGGCCACCUGGUUGGAUACUGACGCUGAGACGCGAAAGCGUGGGGAGCAAACAGG
rnacentral:rRNA from 1 species